GAUGAACGCUGGCGGCGUGCCUAAUACAUGCAAGUCGAGCGAACAGACGAGGAGCUUGCUCCUCUGACGUUAGCGGCGGACGGGUGAGUAACACGUGGAUAACCUACCUAUAAGACUGGGAUAACUUCGGGAAACCGGAGCUAAUACCGGAUAAUAUAUUGAACCGCAUGGUUCAAUAGUGAAAGACGGUUUUGCUGUCACUUAUAGAUGGAUCCGCGCCGCAUUAGCUAGUUGGUAAGGUAACGGCUUACCAAGGCAACGAUGCGUAGCCGACCUGAGAGGGUGAUCGGCAACACUGGACCUGAGACACGGUCCAGACUCCUACGGGAGGCAGCAGUAGGGAAUCUUCCGCAAUGGGCGAAAGCCUGACGGAGCAACGCCGCGUGAGUGAUGAAGGUCUUCGGAUCGUAAAACUCUGUUAUUAGGGAAGAAUAAAUGUGUAAGUAACUAUGCACGUCUUGACGGUACCUAAUCAGAAAGCCACGGCUAACUACGUG
rnacentral:rRNA from 1 species